UCGACUCACCUCCACCACCACCACCUGACGAAUUUGGUGACGGUGAUGGUGCCAGUGCCGGUGCUGAAAGUGAUGGUGCUAAAGGUGACGGUGGAGGAGGCGGGAAAGCAACCAAGGAUUUUGGCGUAGGAGGCGUGGAAAGAACCAAAGCCGGCGUAGGAGGCGGGAGAGCAACAGAGGGAGGAGGCGGG